UGGCCACUCUAACAUGUACACAGGAAAUUUAGCUGAGUAAAAUUUACUCUGCUGGGAUAGCAUUUGAUCCCAGUCUAAAUAGAGUAAAUUACACUCUAUCAUAGAGGGAAAUCAGCUCGACAGUUGUCACAGACUG